GGAGGCAUGGCUCAACAGAUAAGAGCACUGGCUGCUCUUCCAGAGGACCUAGGUUCAAUUCCAAGUGCCCACA
rnacentral:tRNA from 1 species